rnacentral:rRNA from 1 species
AGGCGGAGCAAAACACAAAACACAGUCUCAGUUCAGAUUGUAGGCUGAAACUCGCCUAUAUGAAGUCGGAAUUGCUAGUAAUCGCGGAUCAGCAUGCCGCGGUGAAUACGUUCCCGGGCCUUGUACACACCGCCCGUCACACCAUGAGAGUCGAUAACACCCGAGGCCUGUAGUCCAACAGCAAUGAGGACGCAGUCGAAGGUGGGAUUGAUAAUUAGGGUGAAGUCGUAACAAGGUACC